UCGAAACCUAUAAAGCAGACCCGCAAACUCGUUCCAUAACAUGUGAGGGAGGUCGACGGUUAUUCGUGCGUCGACCAGGAGAUGAACUGGGAUCGGCUACUUUGAGGACCUUUCUCGAGCAUCAACCAGUUGACUCAGAACUAGUAUGGACAUGGGAAAUUCAAUUGUUUAAUUAAAGCAAAGCAUUGCAAUGGUCCCCGCGGAUGCUCACGCAAUGUGAUUUUUGCCCAGUGCCCUGAAUGUUAAAGUGAAGAAAUUCAAUCAAGCGCGGGUAAACGACUGGAGUAACUAUGACUCUCUUUAGGUAGCCAAAUGCCUCGUCAUCUAAUUAGUGAUGCACAUGACUGGAUUAACAAGAUUCCCACUAUCCCUAUCUACUAUCUAGUGAAACCACAUCCAAGGGAACGAGCUUGGCAGAAUCAGUAGGGAAAGAAGACCCUGUUGAGCUUAACUCUAGUCCGACUUUGUGAAAUGACUUCAGAGGUGUAGGAUAAGUGGGAGCCAAAAGGCGAAAGUAAAAUACCACCACUUUUAACAUUAUUUUACUUAUUUCAUAAAUCGAAGGCGGGGCACUGCUCCUCGUUUUGGACCCAAGGCUCAAUUCGAUGGCUGAUCCGAGCUAAAGAUAUUGUCGAUGAGGAGUUUGGCUAAGGCGGUACAUCUGUUAAAAGAUAAUGCAGGUGUCCUAAGAUGAGCUCAAUGAGAAUAGAAAUUUCAUAUGGAACAUAAGAGUAAAAGCUUGUUUGAUUCUGAUUUACAGUACGAAUACGAACCGUGAAAGUGUGGCCUAACGAUCAUUUAAACCUUUGAAAUUUGAAGCUAGAGGUGUCAGAAAAGUUACCACAGGGAUAAUUAGUUUGUGGCAGCCAAGCAUUCAUAACAAUGUUGCUUUUUGAUCCUUCGAUGUCCGCUCUUCCUUUCAUUGUGAAGCAAAAUUCACCAAGUGUCGGAUUGUUCACCCACCAACAGGAAACGUAAGUUGGUUUAUGACUAAAUGCCGACAGGCUAGUUUUAUCCUAUUGAUGAUAGUGUCACAGUAGUAAUUCAACCUAGUACAAGAGAAACCAUUGAUUCACACAAUUCACUUACCGACCCACAAUAGAGGCCUCACGGCCCCAGGGGCACAUGUCGUUGGCAAAGCCCUUACAGCGGUCGUGCUGUAUCAGUUACCUUGAAGUACAAUCUCCAUCGAGCUGUGGGCAGAAUCCUUUGCAGAUGACUUAAAUACGCGACGGGGUAUUGUAAGCAGCAGAGUGGCCUUGCUGCCCAGAAAUGCCUGAAAAUGAGAUUGCGUCCUCGUCAUGGCCC
rnacentral:rRNA from 1 species